GUUAGCUCUAAGACAAUGAAUUCUGCCUUUCUUACAGCCAGUUCAUAGCAAUGAUUCUAGUGGUUAUGGAAGACUUGGUAGCAAUGGGUCUUACGAACAUUACAUCAGCAUAGCGUCCUCUAGUGACUCCAGUGGGAAUUGUGCUGAGGAAAUACAGCAGAACUAAUGACAUUGCAGCAGGUCUGUGCCAAUGUGAACUGAAUAAAGAAUCUGGGUCAACACCUGCAUAGUAAAUCACAGAGCAAACUGCAGAACAGAAAGGAUCCAGUCCUAGAUACUGUACUGCAGGGAGGCAAACAGAACACUGCUUCGUAUAUUCUCCAGGCACUGAGAAGUAACAUCACUGAAGGCCCAGAGAGUUCAUCCUGUGAUGAUUCAAGGAAGAUACAACAUGUUCUAGCCUACCAGCAGAGCAGCUGUGAGGACAGUAUCAUCAUGUGGUAAACUUGCUCUAGAAUUAUUUUGGGGAAGUUCUACAGCCUGUGUUAUGCAGGAGAUCAGACUAGAUGGUCACAAUGGUUUGUUCAGGCGUUUGAAACUAUGAACAUUAUAGCAUUCUGUUAGCACAGGAGAAUCAAAAAAUGAAACUGUCAAGAAAUGAAAAAGUCUUGUUUCACAGCCAAAGUACAGUGAAUGUAAAAAGUAAACAGCAUGAACAGUUAGUCACAAUUAUUUUUAAGUAUUUA
rnacentral:lncRNA from 1 species